GGUGGAAAGAGUUGGGCAGUGAGGCCUGUAACCCCCACACUUGUCACUCAGGGUCACCAUUUCCCUAUAUGUACAGAGCUACUGUUUACGGCAUAGUCUAUGAUUCAUGCCAGUGCCACCCGCCUAGUCAGACCAGGUCUGUGGCGCAAGUUGCUGCCCAGCAUGUGAGAAUUGUUGUAUCCAGAGAUCUUGUUGAAUCCAUGCUGUGGAGAAUUCAAGCGGCAAAGCGGUUCUGGAGGCAAAAGUGGCCGGGUAUGUGCGACUUGUGGCUGCAGUGUGAUAAGAAGCAGCUGACUGGUACCGUGCAAUUCUGAGGAGAGCCAUGAGUCUUCACUGCCCCAGGCAGGCAGCAUUUCAGGUUGGAUGGGAGAGCUCAAUAGACCAUGCCUGUAUAGCCAACUGUGUUUUAUUGAUUUAACUGAAAAUAAACUGCUAUGUGUCCGUG